GGAAGUUACAGUGAGCCGAGAUUGCACCGCCGCACUCCAGCCUGGGUGACAAGAGUGAGACUGUCUCAAAAAACAAAACAAAACAAAACAAAAAAAAGUAGUACAUUAUAAAAAUAGAAAAAAGUGUAUAGAAUAAGGAUAUAAAGAAAGAAAAUGUUUUUAUACAGCUCUACAAUGUAUUUGUGUUUGACGCUAAGUGUUAUUACAAGAGUCCAAAAGUUUAAAUUUUUUUUAAGGGUCUCGCUGUGUCACCCAGGCUGGAGUGCAGUGGAGCAAUCUUGGCUCACUGCAACCUCUGCCUCCCAGGUUCAAGUGAUCCCCUAACCUCAGCCUCUCAAGUAGCUGAGACUAUAGGUGUGCUUCACCACCCCAGCUAAUUUUUGUAUCUUUAGUAAAGGUGGGUUUUGUUUGUUUUGAGACAGAGUCUUGCUGUGUCACCCUGUCACCCGGGCACAAUCACUGCUCACUGCAGCCUCAACCUCGUGGGCUCAAUCGAUCCUCUUGCCUCAGCCACCUGAGUAGCUGGGACUACAGGUGUACACCAUCAUGACCAGCUAAUUUUGUUAUUUUUUGUAGAGAUGGGGUUUCACUAUGUUGCUCAGGCUGAUCUCAACCUCCUGGGCUCAAGUGAUCUGCCUGCCUCGGCCUCCCAAAAUGCUAGGAUUACAGGCAUGAGCCACUGUGCCUUGCCUAAGAAAAUUUUAAGUCAUUUUAGUGUACACUGUGUACAGUGUUAUAACAUCUACAGUAGUGUACAGUAAUGUCCCAGGCCUUCACAGGCACUCACCACUCACUCACUGAGUCUCCCAGAGCAGCCUCCAGCCUUGCAAGCUCCAUUCAUGCAAAACUCUGCUGAUGAGUCCAUUCCUGCGGAUGAGUCCAUUUCUGCUCUCUCCUGGACCUAUUCCCAUCAGGCUUGGCCCUCGCUGUUCCUCCAAAACUGCUCUUGCCAGCGUCACCAUUGCUGAACUUGGUGUUCAUCCCUUGUCCUCAUUACUUGAUCUUGCAGCAACAUCCAUCUGACCAGAUGGCUCCCUUCAUCCUGGUAACGCCCUCUUCCAGGAGCUUCCAGGACAACACACGUACCUGGUUUUCCUCCUACCUCUCAGACUGUUCCAUCCCAGGCUUUUCUGCUGGUUCUUCCCCAUAUCACUGGCUUCUGCGUAAAGCAGUGCCCCAGAGUGCAAUCUGUGAACUCCUCUUCUCUAGCCAUACUCCCUCCCAAGAUUGACGCUAUCUAACAGAAAUUUAAUGUGAACCACAUGUGUAAUGCAAAAUCAUCUAGUAGCCACUUUUUUUUUUUUUUUUUUUUGAGAUGGGGUCCCACUCUGUUGCCCAAGCUGGAGUACAGUGGCAUGAUCUUGGCUUGUUGCAACUCUCACCUCCCAGGUUCAAGCGAUUUUCCACCUCAGCCUCCUGAGUAGCUGGCACUGCAGGC
rnacentral:lncRNA from 1 species